rnacentral:lncRNA from 1 species
AACCACUCGACUAGAUCUACAGACGCCCGUACUACCCUAAGAUCCUACAUGCUGCCUUUGAGAUUAUUCAAAGAAAGCUUUUGACGCAGAACGUCCAUGAUAGAGCCAAAGUCAUCGGCUACUGAAACAGGAGGAUUAGCGAACUGGCUUACGAUAUCUGGCAGCUCACUAGAAUGAUAUUCAACUUUCGAUUGAGUAAACUUGAGUCCAUGAGCAGUACUAACGACCACGGUCCUAUCAUUGGGACCAAUAACGCCCCUGGACCUGAGUUUCUCCAAAGCAACUAAAGCAACUCCUGUGUGUGGGCAAGUAAACAUUCCAGACUUGUCUGCUUGAGCACAGACAUCCAUGAUCUCUUGCUCUGUUGCCUCCUCUACAAUACCAUCACAUUGGGUUAGAGCAUAGAUGGCUCUGUCGAUAGACACGGGAUCACCGAUCUGGAUGGCCGAUGCAAAAGUUGGGAGAGCUUUGACGGGCUUAAAAUUUUCCCAGCCAUCCUUGUAGGCUCUGUAAAGAGGGUUAGCAUUGUGCGCCUGGGCACAGAUCAGUCUCGGCAUUCUGUCGACCAAUCCCAACUCCUUACACAUGUAGAAC